CAAGGAGGCAGCAGGCACAGUGAAACUGGGCGGCGAUGGAUACUCCCAGCACUUGCUGAGCACUGCUACGCCUCAGGACUGGGACAGAGAGAACCAUUCUCUGCUUUCAAUAGGACAGAAGAGCUCCUUGGCACUGGAUGCCUCCGGGUCUGGUUGAGAGAGGAAUGGUUAGGAGACUGUUCUGAGGAUACGCAGACAUCAUCCAAAGCUUCCUACAUUCAGAUGAGGACAGAGGUUGGGCCAGAGCUUUGUAUGCUUGUUACCUAAGGAUGGUUCUGACCAUGUAAGCAGAUCACAGAAGUUCCUGAGCCAAUACUUGUCAAACCUGGUACUGUAUCAAGAUCCUC
rnacentral:lncRNA from 1 species